GCCAGCAUGGUGUAGUGGUUUGAAUGUGGGAUUAUGGCUCAGGAGACCAGGGUUCGACUCCCUGUUCAGACA